rnacentral:rRNA from 1 species
UUUGUAGUUUUACUGCUUUAUAGGCUGUGCUUUUGCUGGAGGUUUAGGGGUGCUCUUGAUCGAGUGUCUCUGGAUGCCAGCAGGUUUACUUUGAAAAAAUUAGAGUGCUCAAAGCAGGCUAAAAUGCCUGAAUAUUCGUGCAUGGAAUAAUAGAAUAGGAUGUCGAUCCUAUUUUGUUGGUUUUCGGGACUCGACAUAAUGAUAAAUAGGGACAGUCGGGGGCAUUUGUAUUCAAACGACAGAGGUGAAAUUCUUGGACCGUUUGAAGACAAACUACUGCGAAAGCAUUUGCCAAGAAUGUUUUCAUUAAUCAAGAACGAAAGUUAGAGGUUCGAAGGCGAUUAGAUACCGCCCUAGUUCUAACCAUAAACGAUGCCAGCUAGCGAUCUGCCUGCGUUUUUACUGUAGACUGGGCAGGAAGCUUCCGGGAAACCAAAGCAUUUGGGUUCCAGGGGAAGUAUGGUUGCAAAGCUGAAACUUAAAGGAAUUGACGGAAGGGCACCACCAGGAGUGGAGCCUGUGGCUUAAUUUGACUCAACACGGGAAAUCUCACCAGGCCCGGACACUGGAAG